rnacentral:rRNA from 1 species
AUGGCUAAAUCAGUGAACCUGAAAGUUGGUUGGAGUGAAAAAGGGGCAUCCGGCGAGGACGCUACCCACCCGAAGCCAGCCAACGGGGGACCUAUAUGCCAUGCGGCGGCGGCGCCGCCGCCGGAGACGCACACAUCACAUGUGCCUCGAACAAAGUUACCGGGAAACCAGACUAGCAACGUGAGCCUUUUGAGUUGGAACUGCAGAGGAGGAGGGAAUUCUCGGACUGCUCGUGAUCUUGUGAGCUUGGUGCAGACUCAUUCCCCCAGUAUUGUUUUCCUGUGUGAAACUAGGCAGUCCAAGGAUAGAAUGAAAAGAUAUAUGCCUCGUCUAGGGUUAAGAGGCUUUGAUGCAGUCGAUACUGUUGGUUUGAGUGGAGGUCUUGCUCUCUAUUGGCAUGAGUCAUUG